rnacentral:lncRNA from 1 species
CCCUGCUCUGACAGCUCCGUCGGUGGAAGUAGGUCAGGUUCUCCAUCUGCAUUCAUGCUCCCACCCUCGGGUCUCCCCAGCCUGCUGCCCUGUGCAGUCACAGCCAUCAGUCAGCAAAGGUGCCCACUCUGCUCCCUGCUCCUCACCGAUGGGCAAGUCAGCAAAGAGGAGGCCAGGAUGAGGUGAGUGGUUGCUCACCAGUGAGAUGGCAGGACGCUCGGUUCCUGUUCAAGGCACGGAAGAUAGGAGAUGCUGCUGAUGUCCUUGUCAUAGACCUUAGGUUGAGAUGACACUCUUCAUCCACGCUUUCUCUCCAGUUUACUGACA